UACAGAGGGUGCGAGCGUUGUCCGGAAUCAUUGGGCGUAAAGCGCGUGUAGGCGGUUCGGUAAGUCCGCUGUGAAAGUCGGGGGCUCAACCCUCGAAUGCCGGUGGAUACUGUCGGACUAGAGUACGGAAGAGGCGAGUGGAAUUCCUGGUGUAGCGGUGAAAUGCGCAGAUAUCAGGAGGAACACCAAUUGCGAAGGCAGCUCGCUGGGACGUUACUGACGCUGAGACGCGAAAGCGUGGGAGCAAACAGG
rnacentral:rRNA from 1 species